UCUGUCAUAAACUCCCUCUCACCUAAUAUCAUCUCUUGAAGCAUUCAGAUUCCAGUGUAUUCAUUUUUCCUUCAUGCACAAUUUGGCAGAUUGCAAACAAUGGCCUCAAAGCUACUUUCUGAAAUUCCUCUCACUCAUCAAAUUUUUGAAAGGGAGAGGGUUUCUGAAAUUGAUGCCUAGAAUCAGCAAUUUGUCUGAUAUGAUUGGAUGGACUGAGCUUGUUUCCACUGGAGUGAACUGAUGAAUGAUUUCAUUGAAGUGUUUAAGAUCCUGGUUAAUCUCAGAAAGAUGGAUAUGGAAAGAAUGUUUCUUUUGUGGAGUGAGCCUGGGGAUUAAUCAUGAAAAACAAGGAAAUGGAAGAGGUGUCUGAACAGAUGCUGCCAGGCCUACUGAGCUUCUAAACGUGGCCAGGAUCUUUCCUCUUAUGGGAGAAUAUAAAACUAGGGAUCACUGUUUAAAAAUCAGAGGUCACUUAUUUAAAACAGAAAAUAAAGAAAGUUUUUUUUUCCCCUCAGUGGCCCAUGGCUCUUUGAAAUUCUCUUCCUGAGAAAGUGUUGGAAGCAAAUUCCUUGAACAUUAAGGAGCAGAAAAAUGGAUUCUUCUUAAGCAAAACAUUGAAAGUUAAUAAGGAUAGAUGGAAAUGUGAAUUUGUGGUUAAAAUCUUAUUGAUGGUGAAGCAAGCUUGAGGAGAGCAAAGGCUUACCCCUGCUCCUAAUUCACCUGCUUUUAUGUAAAAGAAAAACUCAGAAGUUCUAUGUUCUAUGUUCUACGUUCUAGAACUUGGGUAACCAUUCUCAUUAAAAUGGAACUCAUUUCAGGAUAUCUUCCAUUGUCUUAUUUUUGUACAAAAUCUAGGACGUGUCGAUUUUUGAUAAAUUGCACAAAAUUGGUUUAUUCUUCAAUUAUCCAAAUUGACUGCAAUGCACUCUCAGCCUUGUAUUUUAGAAUUUGUUCAAUGACUGUUUAUUAAGCUGAAGGAAAAUAUUGAUUCGUUAGAGAUCCCUACUCAAACCCUAGGCAUUCAAGCCCCAACAUA